UACGUAGGGGGCAAGCGUUGUCCGGAAUCAUUGGGCGUAAAGCGCGUGUAGGCGGCUCUGCAAGUCGGGUGUGAAAUCCCACGGCUCAACCAUGGAAGUGCACUCGAAACUGCAGGGCUAGAGUCCUGGAGAGGAAGGUGGAAUGUUUGGUGUAGAGGUGAAAUUCGUAGAUAUUCGCAAGAACACCAGUGGCGAAGGCGGCUCACUGGCCCGGUACUGACGCUGAGGUGCGAAAGCGUGGGGAGCAAACAGG
rnacentral:rRNA from 1 species